CAUAGACAUAAUAUAAGGGUAGACGCCGCAUUGGCCGCUCCGGCGCAGGAAAUACGGCGGCCAUCUUAGAGCGGUAUACCCUCGUACUUUGCUGAACCAAAACAACAGAAGAUGCCUCAGUUCUGCUCGGCUUAUUCGUGUUUAAAUCUACGAACUGUUGAUGUCAGGGACCGGGGGAUAACUUUUCACAAGUUUCCAAAAGAUAAAGAGAGGAGGAAGAGGUGGGAAAUAGCUUUGAGGAGGGAUGGAUUCACUGCAAGUGAUUCAUCUGUACUAUGCAGUGAACAUUUCAAAACGGAGGAUUUUGACAAAACAGGUCAGAUUGUCAGACUGAGAGCUGAUGUGAUACCAUCAAUUUUCAGCUUCCCAGUUCACCUUCAAAGAGUUGAAAACUACAGAACUACAAUAACCUCCACAAAAGCCCAAAGUAGUGAGUAUGUGGCCUCUCAAGAUGACCCAGAAACUUGUAGUUCAGACCUGCAACCUCAGUCUAAUGAUGUGAGUAUUUUUUCUAUUGUAAAUAUCA